AUGUCAGAUAGCUUCUAUUUGUGCCUCUGGAUUCAUUCUCUACUCUUAUCUUCUUGCUGUCUGUUCCAGGAAGCUGAGACCUGUGUGAACUAUAGCAAUCCAUUCCCUUGUUUGAUGAGGUUGGGCCAACUGGGAGCCCUGGCAAGAAAGCAAGAACAAAAGUGAAGUGGUGGCAAAGUGCUGGACCAGAUGUUAGAAGUCUUCAGUUUGCUCUUGACAACAACAAUUCACAAUGUAACCCUGAGAAAAGUCAUCUCUGUUUCCCCACUGGUAAAAUGAUUGUGAGAAAAAUAGGGUCUAAUGGGACUUAUGUAGAGGACUGGGAAGCUGAGCUGUGAAAUGACCCCAAGGUUUCUGGUCACAAUGGCUUCUCUUUUGUACCCAGUUCUUUGCUCCUCAAGGAGCCUUGUUUUCUGUACUUGUGAAUAUUUGAACCAACCAAUAAAGAUUUAAUGGCAAUGUAGAAAGUUACUUUU
rnacentral:lncRNA from 13 species